CAUGGAGAGCAAAAGCACCUUCUUGGCGAUUGGAGAAGUAGACAUGGUGUGAUAUUGGUUCGGCUCAUCUUAAUUAAUAGAUUAAUAUUUCAGCCCUUAAGGUUCUUACAUGUAUAUAUCUAGACGAGCCGAAUCAAUAUCACUCUUGUAUGCUUCUUUCUUUUGAUU
rnacentral:pre_miRNA from 1 species